rnacentral:rRNA from 1 species
CCUACGGGAGGCUGCAGUGAGGAAUAUUGGUCAAUGGACGAGAGUCUGAACCAGCCAAGUAGCGUGAAGGAUGACUGCCCUAUGGGUUGUAAACUUCUUUUAUAUGGGAAUAAAACGUUCCACGUGUGGGAUUUUGUAUGUACCAUAUGAAUAAGGAUCGGCUAACUCCGUGCCAGCAGCCGCGGUAAUACGGAGGAUCCGAGCGUUAUCCGGAUUUAUUGGGUUUAAAGGGAGCGUAGGUGGAUUGUUAAGUCAGUUGUGAAAGUUUGCGGCUCAACCGUAAAAUUGCAGUUGAAACUGGCAGUCUUGAGUACAGUAGAGGUAGGCGGAAUUCGUGGUGUAGCGGUGAAAUGCUUAGAUAUCACGAAGAACACCGAUUGCGAAGGCAGUUCACUGGACUGCAACUGACACUGAGGCGCGAAAGUGUGGGUAUCAAACAGGAUUAGAUACCCUUGUAGUC